CAGGUUUAGAAUGCAAAGUUCUUGCUGAGAGCUCACCAUGAUGGCCAGUUCUGGGAGGCAAAACAUAGGUGGAGGAUGACGACAGCGAAGCACAAACUACGAAGAUCAUUAAGAGUAAGCGAUCAUGCACUGCUGCAGAUAUCAGAUUAAUCAACGAGUAAGCAAACAGGUUCCAUUUGUCAUGCAAUUGAGUUUCAUGCUCACGCAAAAUAAAAUUACGAUGCUAUUAUUAUUUAUCUGGGCUGAUCGAAUUUUAUAUGGUCCAUGUGCUAACCUGAGCUGAGUUGCUGAGCACGCCAGGCA
rnacentral:lncRNA from 1 species